rnacentral:rRNA from 1 species
AGAGGGUGCAAGCGUUGCUCGGAUUUACUGGGCGUAAAGCGUACGCAGACGGUGAGAAAGGUCGGAUGUGAAAGCCCCGGGCUCAACCCGGGAACUGCAUCCGAAACCAUCUCGCUAGAGUAUGGGAGAGGGAAGCGGAAUUCCUGGUGUAGAGGUGAAAUUCGUAGAUAUCAGGAGGAACACCUGCGGCGAAGGCGGCUUCCUGGCCCAUUACUGACGUUCAGGUACGAAAGCGUGGGUAGCAAACAGGAUUAGAUACCCUGGUAGUCCACGCUGUAAACGAUGUGUGCUGGAUGUCGGGGGUAUUCACCCCCUCGGUAUCGAAGCUAACGCGAUAAGCACACCGCCUGGGGAGUACGGCCGCAAGGUUG